UCUUCUACGUCUACGCAACCGAAGCCGUCUUCCACCGCAGAGCGAGAGCCGCAGCCAAUCGGCCUGAGUCAGGGAGGCGAAGGUGGAGGUGCGUCAGGCGGAUCAACGGUUCAUUACUAUUGGGGGAUUCCCUUCUGUCCGCAAGGCCUCGACCCCGACUCCUACACACAGGUGAUCCUGGCUCAGAUGGAAGUGUAUGAGAAGAGUCUGAAGCAGGCUCAGAGGCGUCUGCUGAGGAAGGCCGAGUGGGGAGACGCCAUCCUGCCGGAGCCAGAGAAAUCACCGUCACCAGAGCCGCCUGCUGAAUCAUCAUCUCAACAGCUCGUCACUCGAAGGCGAGGUCUCCGACUGAGAGGCAGAAAACUCAGCGAGGCAGCCGAUACUCCUCCAGGUGAGACAGC